rnacentral:rRNA from 1 species
UUGGUGAGGUAAUGGCUCACCAAGGCGACGACGGGUAGCCGGCCUGAGAGGGCGACCGGCCACACUGGGACUGAGACACGGCCCAGACUCCUACGGGAGGCAGCAGUGGGGAAUAUUGCACAAUGGGCGAAAGCCUGAUGCAGCGACGCCGCGUGAGGGAUGACGGCCUUCGGGUUGUAAACCUCUUUCAGCAGGGAAGAAGCGAAAGUGACGGUACCUGCAGAAGAAGCACCGGCUAACUACGUGCCAGCAGCCGCGGUAAUACGUAGGGUGCGAGCGUUGUCCGGAAUUAUUGGGCGUAAAGAGCUUGUAGGCGGUUUGUCGCGUCCGCCGUGAAAUUUCGAGGCUCAACCUCGAACUUGCGGUGGGUACGGGCAGACUAGAGCGUGGUAGGGGAGACUGGAAUUCCUGGUGUAGCGGUGAAAUGCGCAGAUAUCAGGAGGAACACCGAUGGCGAAGGCAGGUCUCUGGGCCACUACUGACGCUGAGAAGCGAAAGCAUGGGGAGCGAACAGGAUUAGAUACCCUGGUAGUCCAUGCCGUAAACGUUGGGAACUAGGUGUGGGUCUCAUUCCACGAGAUCCGUGCCGCAGCUAACGCAUUAAGUUCCCCGCCUGGGGAGUACGG